UAGGGAAUCUUCGGCAAUGGACGGAAGUCUGACCGAGCAACGCCGCGUGAGUGAAGAAGGUUUUCGGAUCGUAAAGCUCUGUUGUAAGAGAAGAACGAGUGUGAGAGUGGAAAGUUCACACUGUGACGGUAUCUUACCAGAAAGGGACGGCUAACUACGUGCCAGCAGCCGCGGUAAUACGUAGGUCCCGAGCGUUGUCCGGAUUUAUUGGGCGUAAAGCGAGCGCAGGCGGUUAGAUAAGUCUGAAGUUAAAGGCUGUGGCUUAACCAUAGUACGCUUUGGAAACUGUUUAACUUGAGUGCAAGAGGGGAGAGUGGAAUUCCAUGUGUAGCGGUGAAAUACGUAGAUAUAUGGAGGAACACCGGUGGCGAAAGCGGCUCUCUGGCUUGUAACUGACGCUGAGGCUCGAAAGCGUGGGGAGCAAACAGGAUUAGAUACCCUGGUAGUCCACGCCGUAAACGAUGAGUGCUAGGUGUUAGACCCUUUCCGGGGUUUAGUGCCGUAGCUAACGCAUUAAGCACUCCGCCUGGGGAGUACGACCGCAAGGUUGAAACUC
rnacentral:rRNA from 1 species